AUUGAACGCUGGCGGAAUGCUUUACACAUGCAAGUCGAACGGCAGCACGGGUGCUUGCACCUGGUGGCGAGUGGCGAACGGGUGAGUAACAUAUCGGAACGUACCCAGUAAUGGGGGGAUAACUAGUCGAAAGAUUAGCUAAUACCGCAUACGCCCUGAGGGGGGAAAGCGGGGGAUCGUAAGACCUCGCGUUAUUGGAGCGGCCGAUAUCUGAUUAGCUAGUUGGUGGGGUAAAGGCCUACCAAGGCGACGAUCAGUAGCUGGUCUGAGAGGACGACCAGCCACACUGGGAAACUGAGACACGGUCCAGACUCCUACGGGAGGCAGCAGUGGGGAAUUUUGGACAAUGGGCGCAAGCCUGAUCCAGCCAUUCCGCGUGAGUGAAGAAGGCCUCGGGUUGUAAAGCUCUUUCGCAAGGGAAGAAACGAUACGAGCGAAUAACUCGUGUUAAUGACGGUACCUUGAUAAGAAGCAUCGGCUAACUACGUGCCAGCAGCCGCGGUAAUACGUAGGGUGCGAGCGUUAAUCGGAAUUACUGGGCGUAAAGCGUGCGCAGGCGGUUUUGUAAGUCAGAUGUGAAAUCCCCGGGCUCAACCUGGGAACUGCGUUUGAAACUACAAGGCUAGAGUAUAGGAGAGGGGGGUAGAAUUCCACGUGUAGCAGUGAAAUGCGUAGAGAUGUAGAGGAAUACCAAUGGCGAAGGCAGCCCCCUGGCCUAAUACUGACGCUCAUGCACGAAAGCGU
rnacentral:rRNA from 1 species